GAUGAACGCUAGCUACAGGCUUAACACAUGCAAGUCGAGGGGAAACGACAUCGAAAGCUUGCUUUUGAUGGGCGUCGACCGGCGCACGGGUGAGUAACGCGUAUCCAACCUGCCCACCACUUGGGGAUAACCUUGCGAAAGUAAGACUAAUACCCAAUGAUAUCCCACGAAGGCAUCCGAAUGGGAUUAAAGAUUUAUCGGUGAUGGAUGGGGAUGCGUCUGAUUAGCUUGUUGGCGGGGUAACGGCCCACCAAGGCAACGAUCAGUAGGGGUUCUGAGAGGAAGGUCCCCCCACAUUGGAACUGAGACACGGUCCAAACUCCUACGGGAGGCAGCAGUGAGGAAUAUUGGUCAAUGGGCGAGAGCCUGAACCAGCCAAGUAGCGUGCAGGACGACGGCCCUAUGGGUUGUAAACUGCUUUUAUAAGGGAAUAAAGUGGGUCACGUGUGACUUUUUGCAUGUACCUUAUGAAUAAGGACCGGCUAAUUCCGUG
rnacentral:rRNA from 1 species